rnacentral:rRNA from 1 species
UAAGGAAUAUUGGUCAAUGGACGCAAGUCUGAACCAGCCAUGCCGCGUGAAGGAUGAAGGUCCUCUGGAUUGUAAACUUCUUUUAUCUGGGACGAAAACGGGAUUUUUAUCUCAAUUGACGGUACCAGAGGAAUAAGCACCGGCUAACUCCGUGCCAGCAGCCGCGGUAAUACGGAGGGUGCGAGCGUUAUCCGGAUUUACUGGGUUUAAAGGGUGCGUAGGUGGGCUUAUAAGUCAGUGGUGAAAUCUCCGAGCUUAACUUGGAAACUGCCGUUGAUACUAUAGGUCUUGAAUUAUCUGGAGGUAAGCAGAAUAUGUCAUGUAGCGGUGAAAUGCUUAGAUAUGACAUAGAACACCAAUUGCGAAGGCAGCUUACUACAUAUAAAUUGACGCUGAGGUACGAAAGCGUGGGGAUCAAACA